UACGUAGGGGGCAAGCGUUGUCCGGAUUUAUUGGGCGUAAAGCGCUCGCAGGUGGUCCGUUGCGUCGUGCGUGAAAGACCCCGGCUCAACUCUGGAAUGGCCUUUGAGACUAGAGAACUAGGGUACGGGAGAGGUGAGUGGAAUUCCGAGUGUAGAGGUGAAAUUCGUAGAUAUUCGGAAGAACACCAGUGGCGAAGGCGGCUCACUGGCCCGUUACCGACGCUCAGGCGCGACAGCGUGGGGAGCAAACAGG
rnacentral:rRNA from 1 species